rnacentral:misc_RNA from 1 species
GAUGAAGAACGUAGCGAAAUGCGAUAACUAAUGUGAAUUGCAGAAUUCCGUGAAUCAUCGAGUCUUUGAACGCACAUUGCGCCCCCUGGUAUUCCGGGGGGCAUGCCUGUCCGAGCGUCAUUGCUGCCCAUCAAGCACGGCUUGUGUGUUGGGUCCCGUCCCCCUCUCCCGGGGGACGGACCCGAAAGGCAGCGGCGGCACCGCGUCCGGUCCUCGAGCGUAUGGGGCUUUGUCACCCGCUCUUGUAGUCCCGGCCGGCGCUUGCCGACACCCAACCAUUUUUUUCAGGUUGACCUCGGAUCAGGUAGGGAUACCCGCUGAACUUAAGCAUAUCAAUAAGCGGAGGA